rnacentral:misc_RNA from 1 species
CCUCAAGAUUGGGGUGAACGUUGGCUGGAGGAGGGUCCGGAGCAGGCGCGGAUCUACUAUUGACCUUAUUUGCGUCUUUCACGAGCUUCUUCCAUGACACGAAUGUUGUCUCACCGGGUCGAAGCUCCACCGUGAAUAUUUGCCUGUCUCCUAAUUUCACAUAUGAAGGCGUUAUCCUUGACGACGAUUCCCCCCCAGCACCACCACUAUUCCGUUCCUCCAUUUGCCGGCUCACAGUUCUAGGGUAUGGAAUUGAGAAUUCAAGAAUUUAAGAUUUGGCAGACAUAGAGAAGAGGAAUUUAGGAAAACCCUAUAUAUUUAUUGAGAGAGAGGUGGGGAGAGCGUGUUUUUGAAGAAAAAGAGAACCAAAGAGAGAGCUGAGCGGUAUGAGAAAACCGUUAUCGGGGGUUUAACUGGAAAAGUAAAUUUUCUGUUUCCAUUUUCUUGCGUUUUCCUUCGUGAGAAAAUUUGAG